rnacentral:misc_RNA from 1 species
GAUGAAGAACGUAGCGAAAUGCGAUAAGUAAUGUGAAUUGCAGAAUUCAGUGAAUCAUCGAAUCUUUGAACGCACAUUGCGCCCGCCAGUAUUCUGGCGGGCAUGCCUGUUCGAGCGUCAUUACAACCCUCAGGCCCCCGGGCCUGGCGUUGGGGAUCGGCGGAAGCCCCCUGCGGGCACAACGCCGUCCCCCAAAUACAGUGGCGGUCCCGCCGCAGCUUCCAUUGCGUAGUAGCUAACACCUCGCAACUGGAGAGCGGCGCGGCCACGCCGUAAAACACCCAACUCUUCUGAAGUUGACCUCGAAUCAGGUAGGAAUACCCGCUGAACUUAAGCAUAUCAAUAAGCGGAGGA